CCUCGGCGACGCUGCUCAGCAGGGCCAGAGCGGCCAGGGUGGGCCACAGGGCAGGCUGCUGGAAGAGACAAUGGGGAGCCUCAGGGGGUCAAGCCACCUUUCCUCAAUACCCAGUAGAAGUCUGUGGGAGAACUGCUCACCUGCCUCCUAGGCCCAGCCCGGAGGGGCAGCACAGAAGGGCCUCCACGUCCAGGUUCCAUCUCUGUCAACACCAGGAGCUCCCAUCAGUUGUAGCCGACCUGUUCCCCCACCCUCCUCUUGAGGCAGCUUGGAACAUGGAGUUAUCCUCAGAGCAGGUCAUCCCUCCACUUCAGCUUCUCCAGACUCAUCGCACUCCUCAACUCCGCAAGGCACCGAGCUGGGGCUUUCAAAGUCCGACCCGGCUCUAGCGGCCCCAGCCCCUCCGCUAGACCCAGCGCUUCCCCUCCGCUGCCGCCUGGGGCUUGGAGUACAGACACACCUGAAAAGGCCGCUGCUCAGCCCAGCACAGCGCGGGCAGAGUGGUAGGAGUCGGUGCUGGGGCUGAAGAAGAGCGGGGUCCUGGAGGAGGAAGGUUUGCACCGAGGGUUGAGGAAAGUCAGAGAAAGCGAGAGGAGGCAGGCUCAGGGAAGAGCUUUAUUGCUUCCAUGAUGGCUGCCCAGCAGGGCUGCCGCA